rnacentral:rRNA from 1 species
CCUACGGGAGGCAGCAGUGAGGAAUAUUGGUCAAUGGGCGGGAGCCUGAACCAGCCAAGUCGCGUGAGGGACGACGGUCUUAUGGAUUGUAAACCUCUUUUGUCGGGGAACAAAGGCGCACACGGGUGGGCGGAUGAGUGUACCCGAAGAAAAAGCAUCGGCUAACUCAGCGCCAGCAGCCGCGGUAAUACGGAGGAUGCGAGCGUUAUCCGGAUUUAUUGGGUUUAAGGGGUGCGUAGGCGGACAGUCAAGUCAGCGGUAAAAAUGCGGUGCUCAACGCCGUACAGCCUUUGCAACUGGCAGGCUUGAGUGGGCUAGAGGUAUGCGGAAUGCGUGGUGUAGCGGUGAAAUGCGUAGAUAUCACGCAGAACUCCGAUUGCGAAGGCAGCAUACCGGCGCCCAACUGACGCUGAAGCACGAAAGCGUGGGUAUCGAACAGGAUUAGAUACCCUUGUAGUC